rnacentral:rRNA from 1 species
CGCCGCCAGACAAACUACAGCGAAAGCAUUUGCCAAGGAUGUUUUCAUUGAUCUGGAGCGAAAGUCAGAGGUUCGAAGACGAUCAGAUACCGUCCUAGUUCUGACCAUAAACGAUGCCAACUGACGAUCCGUGGCGGCUCAAUUAAUGGCUCCACGGGCAGUCCCCGGGAAACCUUUAAGUCUUUGGGCUCCGGGGGAAGUAUGGUUGCAAAGCUGAAACUUAAAGGAAUUGACGGAAGGGCACCACCAGGAGUGGAGCCUGCGGCUUAAUUCGACUCAACACGGGAAAACUCACCCGGCCCGGACACUGUGAGGAUUGACAGAUUGAUAGCUCUUUCUUGAUUCGGUGGUUGGUGGUGCAUGGCCGUUCUUAGUUGGUGGAGCGAUUUGUCUGGUUAAUUCCGAUAACGAACGAGACUUUAACCUGCUAAAUAGUACACAUGUCCUCUGUGCUCGUGCAGGUGGCGGUUUUCUCUGCCCGUUCUACGGGUGUGAGAGGCCGUUCGUCGGCGGGUACUAAGCAUGUGUUUACUUCUUAGAGGGACAAGCGGCGAGCCAGUCGCACGAGAAUGAGCAAUAACAGGUCUGUGAUGCCCUUAGAUGUCCGGGGCCGCACGUGCGCUACAAUGACGGUUUCAGCGAGUUUUAAAACCUGGCCUGAAAGGGUUGGGCAAACUGAACCAUAACCGUCGUGACUGGGAUCGGGGCUUGCAAUUAUUCCCCGUGAACGAGGAAUUCCUGGUAAGUGCAAGUCAUAAGCUUGCGCUGAUUACGUCCCUGCCCUUUGUACACACCGCCCGUCGCUACUACCGAUUGAAUGGUUUAGCAAGGUCAUCGGAUCGGUACUAUUGUAGUUGCUUCGGCAACUCGAAUUGUGCUGAGAAGACGACCAAACUUGAUCA